rnacentral:rRNA from 2 species
ACAGGGAUUGCCCUAGUAACGGCGAGUGAAGCGGCAACAGCUCAAAUUUGAAAUCUGGCUUCGGCCCGAGUUGUAAUUUGCAGAGGAAGCUUUAGGCGCGGCACUUUCUGAGUCCCCUGGAACGGGGCGCCAUAGAGGGUGAGAGCCCCGUAUAGUUAGAUGCCUAGCCUGUGUAAAGCUCCUUCGACGAGUCGAGUAGUUUGGGAAUGCUGCUCAAAAUGGGAGGUAAAUUUCUUCUAAAGCUAAAUACCGGCCAGAGACCGAUAGCGCACAAGUAGAGUGAUCGAAAGAUGAAAAGCACUUUGAAAAGAGGGUUAAAUAGCACGUGAAAUUGUUGAAAGGGAAGCGCUUGUGACCAGACUUGCGCCGGGCAGAUCAUCCGGUGUUCUCACCGGUGCACUCUGCCCGGCUCAGGCCAGCAUCGGUUCUCGCGGGGGGAUAAAGGCCCUGGGAACGUAGCUCCUCCGGGAGUGUUAUAGCCCGGGGCGUAAUGCCCUCGCGGGGACCGAGGUUCGCGCAUCUGCAAGGAUGCUGGCGUAAUGGUCAUCAGCGACCCGUCUUGAAACACGGACCAAGGAGUCAAGGUUUUGCGCGAGUGUUUGGGUGUAAAACCCGCACGCGUAAUGAAAGUGAACGUAGGUGAGAGCUUCGGCGCAUCAUCGACCGAUCCUGAUGUUUUCGGAUGGAUUUGAGUAGGAGCGUUAAGCCUUGGACCCGAAAGAUGGUGAACUAUGCUUGGAUAGGGUGAAGCCAGAGGAAACUCUGGUGGAGGCUCGCAGCGGUUCUGACGUGCAAAUCGAUCGUCAAAUCUGAGCAUGGGGGCGAAAGACUAAUCGA